UGAAUGUGUGUGUGUGUGUGUGUGCGCGCGCGCACACACACACACACACACACUUUCC
rnacentral:miRNA from 1 species